rnacentral:lncRNA from 1 species
UGGAAUUUCAUGAGUUCUAAUCAUUAAUAUUUCACAAAAAGAACUAGGAAACAUAUGGAGUACUAGUCAUUCUUUUCCUAUCAUUUUGGAAGAGAAUACAUCUCCUCUGGGGUGAGAAUGAUCGAAUUUUCAAUUUGGAAUAUGAAAUAGUAAGUUUUCAAGCUUGACAUGCCCUUACAUUAUAAACUCAAACAAACAUAUGAUCAGCUUCAAUAGUAACUUUCUUAAAAUACAAGUUAGAGUAAUAAGUAGUUCAACAAUGCACCAUUAUGAUAUAUGGACCCUGUAUUUAAGUUACACUACCCCACUUUAUGGGAAUACACAUGGUAUGUUGUUAUAUUGUUGUUAUAUUUAAAUUAAACUACUACAUCAAUAAUUUAGCAGAAGUGCUACAGAGAGGUGGAAUAAACCUGAUGAUUUAUUUGCACUUGAUGACAGUCAACUGGGUGAAAAGACUGCAUUUCAUGGCAUAGAUAGGGCUGGCCAUCUGGUUCACCUAGAACGGCCUUGCGUUUACAAGUGUCUCAAGCAGUUCCUUACUUCCCUGCAUGCAAAAAGAGUUCAAAAGUGAAGGACGUACCAUAAAGUUCACUAUCUAAUAUCAUUUGUCUAUGGAAAAGAAAACAACUUCGUCUUUUCUCUGUAACAUUAGUUACUAUGUAAUUUGGGGUUCAAAAUUUGAAAUUUCUGUCUUAAUGCAAAUGUAUACAGAUAUUUGUUGCAUAUUUUAAUUUGGAUUAUUAUUAAUGGAAUAUUUUGUUGUGGUGUAUAGAUGUCUGUGUGAAUAAAUAUUAAUUUACAAUAUAGGGGUGACUACUUCAUUUAAACCGUCAAUUAGUAUUUGAAGUUGCAAUAGGUGGCAAAAAUUAUUGCAAUAGCUAAUUAUAAUAGUUGCAAUAGGUAGCAAAAAAUAUUGCAAAAGACACGAAAACCAUUGCAAUAGGUGUCAGAAAGAGUUGCAAUCGGUAGUUUAAAACCGUUGCAAAAGACUAAUAAGUGUUGCAGUAGAUAUCCGAAAAUUAUUGCAAUAGGGUUAUUGUAAUGCUUUCUUGUCGUUGCAAUAUAUUCUAUUGCAACAGUUCUUAACUGUUACUGUAGACAAUAUGAAGCAUCCCAAUAGGAUUUAAAAAUAACCGUUACAAAAGUCGUUGCAAUACAUCAAUCGCAACGCUCACUCUAUGCAACACAUGCCAAACCGUUGCGGUAGAUCUAUCGCAACGGUUUUUGUAUCUAUUGCAAUGGUUUUUGAACCAUUGCGAUAGGGAUAAUUUCUAGUAGUGUAAUUCAUGUUAAAAUUAUUAGAAAUUAGGUCUUACAUUCGUAAAUUUUGAGGGUUGAUUUGAGACUCGAUUCUUCAAUAUAGUUGAGACUAAUGAACCUUUAAUAUAAAUUUUUCUACGUGACUUGGUAGAUGUUAAUGGAUUACCCUAGAUGAUGAUAUGGUGUUAUUUUGGAUAUAUUCUUUGGCCCAAGGACGUGAUUAUGAUAGUGCUUGGAUUUUAGGAAGUGUUUUAUCCUUAUAAAAGACAUGACGAUAUCUAUUAGACGUAUUGAUGCUUAUAAUCAUAUUGAGUGGAUACUAAAGAUGGCAUGCACAGAUUUGAUACUGUAAUGAUCACUUAGAUAGUAAAUGAUAUGAUUCCAACUAAAAUAUGUUUUUAUUAGCAUUUUUCGUCUAAAGGAUUUAUUCCCACUUUUCAGUUUCCAAAUGAAUUCCUUUAUAAUAGGAAUCAUACCAUCUCAUUAAGUUAUGAGCAUUUGAGACUAGAAAUGUUGUUUUAGAUAUUUGACAGAGUUAGAUUUCGGUCCACGAUUUUACUAUUAUAAUUUACCUCGAUCGUGAGAGUUUUCAACAUUUUCCAUAUAUUUAUGAUAAUUUAGUCCAUGAGUUUAUAUCUAUAUAUUUGGUACUAGAUAAAGUGGAUUGAUGAUGAUGAUGAUGGUUAUUGGAAAUCUUGGAUCAGGACCGAUUCAGUGUAUACGGGUACUUCUGAACCCCCUAGGGGCUUCUUCGUCGGUGAGUCAUUAGGCCGGAGGAAAGAGAGGUCAUAGGUCAUGCCUUGCUCACAAAAAUAAUCACGUAAAAGCCACAGCUUGCUGGAACAUCAAAGGAGGUACAAACUGAUAUGGAUUCUUGAUUUUCCUGCUUAUGGGGUUGUAUGUUCAAAUUAGAUUAGAAGUACAACUUUAGAUUGUAAACUGUUUGUUUUAAAUUGCCUAUUUCUGAUUAUGUUCUUCUAGGUUUUCUUAGCCAUUCUAGAAAGUUACUGCAGAUGGUUCUUUUAAAAGAAAUGGUGUUGUUGGUAUGUAUUCUAAGUAUUCAGACUCGCUUUUACUCAUUAUGGGAUGGCUAUGAUGUAUUCAAUUGCUCUCGACUCAGGUGUUCUGGAAGCAAAUUUCAUAGAACCUGUGCAUGACGAGCAAGAUUUUUAAUGAUCAUCUCUGUUUUUCAAGUCAACAUUGACAAAAGAGAACAGUUCACUUCAGGUAUUAUGUUUGAUUUUUUUUUUGCCAGUCAUUCACCUGUGUAUGGAAUUCAAACAUACCAAAGGCUUUUUUUGUGAAAAAUUGUGUUGAUAAAAGAAGAUGCAGAUAAUUAAUUUCCAUAGAAAUUACAAUGUGUGGUGGAUAACUCCAGCCAAGAAGGCUAUUCUUUGUGGUGAGUUCAUAAUGUCUCUGCAUAUUUUUUAAUCGCGGUACUAGUGUGUUAGACAGUCUGAAGAUUGGCUAAUCUAGCUCCUAUUUGCUUAAUUAGACAUAAAGAUAGUGGUUUCUACCAUAUUUGUUAGAAUACGAAAAUUACUAGAUGUUAUUGAUGGUUCAACUACAUGGCUCUUUCUAGUCUAUGUAAGCCUUUAAGAUGAAGCUUUCGCUUAUAGCUCAUGAGUCAUGAUUACUUAUAAAUAAAAGUCUUAUAGCUCCUGAUUAUUAUAGUGAUGAACAGAAAUAGCAGUCAUUUCAGUAAAGAGUAUGAAUAUGUCAUUUCGCUAUUUUGGAAACUUGUAACACUACUAGAUUAUACCUCUUGAUUACUUUAUUGAUGGACAAUUUUAGAAACUAUUUUCGUGAAAGGUAAGAAUAAGUCGUUUUACUAUUUUGGCAACUCAGAACACUAGCUUAUGCAUGGUUCAGAACCAAUAAGCUGAAAAGGUACGUCUUGAAAUUCUUGUUAGUUGCUCUUUGCCAGAUGCUCCAGUAUAACACACAUAGGUUUAGCUGUGAAAUGCCCCUUUGCUUCUUUAGUCUGCUUACAAUAUAGAGCUUCCCGUGGCAAGCUACCGAAUGGAUGACGGAAUAUCUGAACUUUGAAUACUGACCAGGUUUAAGGGCAGAGAGGUUCUGCUUGUACUUUGUUAUUUGCAUUUGUAAAUAGUACAACAUAAAUCAAUGAAGCUUUAAUAGGUUAAUAUAUUUUCUUAUGUAUUAUAUAAGCAUAUUUAUAUUUGUUUUUUAUUGAAAGGGGAGUAGGUGUAGUUCAGUGGUAAUCAGGCCUUGAAUUCUAACUGACUCUUAAACGAUGGCUUGUUAUGCAGAAACAUAUACUGCAAAAAUGAACUAAAGAAUCUCAAAUUUGUGAAAUUAAGUGAUUUAAAGUUUGUGAAUAUACAAAUAUAAUUGAAUGAGGCACCAAGGUGUCAUGGUGAAGUUGGUUAUAAUGUCACUAUAACAAACUGAAGGUCUCGUGUUUGAGUCCAGGAGAUGACAUGCUGUUUAUACUAAGCCAGCUUAGACUGAAGCUACAAUUUUAAGAUUUUUUUUUAAGAAGUCAGGAUCCAAUUCGUUACUUCAGUAAUAUAUUUUCUGCUUCCUCGUUUCCUUGGCUUAAUGUUAACAUUAUUUGCUUAUAUCUAGACUGCGAUAAUGACUUUUGCUAAAAGAAUACUGUGUCAAAAGAAAUGACUUUCUUUAACAUAUACAAUAAACAGAAUAGCAUUCUCUGUCAAGCAACUACACUUCUUGAAACAAAGAUAACUACACUUCUUGCAUAGAAGUAUUCAGCGACUUUUAACCUAUAGAUUAUUGUCAAAUUCUUGAAUACUUGACAGUUGACUUGCGUCAAGAAAUUAAAGACAAACAACAUAGAUUUCAUCCUCUGAUUCAUAUCUAAAAUGUAAAGUUUUAACCUGAGCAAAGGAUCUUAUUCCCUCACUUGACAAUAUGUCAGGUCAUAUUUACCAACAGAAAGGAAAGAGCGGAGCUGCUAGAAGGCUUGGUGGUGAGCAACAAAGAAGAAACUAUUCUAAAUUUUCCACAGGUAAUUGGAAUUUCAUGAGUUCUAAUCAUUAAUAUUUCACAAAAAGAACUAGGAAACAUAUGGAGUACUAGUCAUUCUUUUCCUAUCAUUUUGGAAGAGAAUACAUCUCCUCUGGGGUGAGAAUGAUCGAAUUUUCAAUUUGGAAUAUGAAAUAGUAAGUUUUCAAGCUUGACAUGCCCUUACAUUAUAAACUCAAACAAACAUAUGAUCAGCUUCAAUAGUAACUUUCUUAAAAUACAAGUUAGAGUAAUAAGUAGUUCAACAAUGCACCAUUAUGAUAUAUGGACCCUGUAUUUAAGUUACACUACCCCACUUUAUGGGAAUACACAUGGUAUGUUGUUAUAUUGUUGUUAUAUUUAAAUUAAACUACUACAUCAAUAAUUUAGCAGAAGUGCUACAGAGAGGUGGAAUAAACCUGAUGAUUUAUUUGCACUUGAUGACAGUCAACUGGGUGAAAAGACUGCAUUUCAUGGCAUAGAUAGGGCUGGCCAUCUGGUUCACCUAGAACGGCCUUGCGUUUACAAGUGUCUCAAGCAGUUCCUUACUUCCCUGCAUGCAAAAAGAGUUCAAAAGUGAAGGACGUACCAUAAAGUUCACUAUCUAAUAUCAUUUGUCUAUGGAAAAGAAAACAACUUCGUCUUUUCUCUGUAACAUUAGUUACUAUGUAAUUUGGGGUUCAAAAUUUGAAAUUUCUGUCUUAAUGCAAAUGUAUACAGAUAUUUGUUGCAUAUUUUAAUUUGGAUUAUUAUUAAUGGAAUAUUUUGUUGUGGUGUAUAGAUGUCUGUGUGAAUAAAUAUUAAUUUACAAUAUAGGGG